UGAGACUUAUCUACUAAGGUUUAGUUUUGAUUUUUGAGAGUUUAGCUUCACCAUGAGUUCAAACAGCAACGAAUCCUUCAUGAACGCCGAUUUCAACGUGGAUGAGGCCGAAUCUUGGUAUACUAGGCCUGAGAGGGAGAUGGAAGAGUAUAGGCGGUUCAGUCAACAUGCCACCAAGAUCCUAGCUCGUGAUAGAAGAAGAGAGGAAAUUGCAAGAGGUAAGAGAGCUAUGGCCGAAGAGAGAAGUCUCGUCGAUGAAUACCUUGGGGGGGAUGAAGAUUAUGUCCCUGAAAUAACUCCAAGACUCACUAAGUCCUUGAUGAAGAAGACUAAGCUAUCACCGGAUGGAUACUAUGAGCUUUUGGCAGCUCACAAUUUCCAUGGGACUCGAUACCCCCACUCUGAAACCAUGAAUGAGCUUGGGAUAACAGAGGAUGUCGAGUACCUCUUUGAAAAGAGUGGUCUUCUGGGUCUCAUGUCCAACCCUCACUCAGCCUACAAAACAGAGGCGCUUCAGUUUAUUGCUUCGCUGGAAGUAAAGUUGUUUCAGGGGCUUUCUAGCCAUGAAGCAAGAGAAGAAGGGCUUGGGUAUAUCACAUUCGAAGUCUAUGGAAAAGACUAUGUUUUGGCUAUCAAAACUCUUGAGGAUAUGUUCGGAUUCCCUAGAGGGACUGAUGUUAAACCCAAGUUCAAGAAAGAGGAACUUUCGGAUCUUUGGGUAACAAUAGGUGAUGACGCUGUAUUCUCAUCCUCAUGGGCCAAGAGCAACGCAAUCCAAACCCCUGCAUUCGGUACUUCCAGAAAGCAAUGGCUAACGUCCUCUACGCAAGGGAGAAGACCGGACCGAUUAACAAUGGUGAGAUAGAGCUGUUGGAUAUUACCCUAAAAGAUAUCCUAGUCGACACCAAGAACAAAGUGCCUAUGAAGGGUGACACCAACGACGCUUCACCAUCAAUGCGUUUAUUGAAUCAUCUUUGUGGUUUCAGGAAAUGGGCACUAGCAAAUAAGCAGAAGAGAACCAUUUCUAUAGGAGGGGUGAUAACACCUACACUAAUGGCUUGUGGAGUGCCACUUCAGUCGACUCCCUUUGCCCCUAGAUGGUGAGAUGGGCUUUGUUUAUUGAUCAUCAGAGUCAUGAGGGGAUGCAUAUUCUCAAGUUUCAGCAUAGAGCGGAAAUGGAUGGGAGGUUUCUCCUACCCAACUAAGAGCUCACAACCAUCACAGUGAGGGGUAACAUCGAUUUCAACCCGCCUAAUGAAGAACUCUUCUUCAUGGAACGAGCACCCCCGACGAGAGAAGCUCCAGACAUUGAAGAAAGGGUUGAGAGUGAAGGAGAAGCUGAGAAUGAAGAAGCAGAGGAGAUGGAUUGGGAGAACUACAAUGCAAGUAUGUUCCAUUUUGAGGAACACAAACCACCACCAAGAGUGAGUAAGAGUCUGACUGUUGCACAUAAGAAUAUUGGUUUGAUGAGUACUUGAAAUAAGUUUCAAGACAGGAUGUUGGAAAAAUGUGGCAAGGCCAUAGCCGCCAUUCAGGCUGUACUAAGCUUUUCAUCUUCAGGCGCCACCAUGGUGAGAGAAAACCGCCCUGGAGAAGUGGUUUCAAGAAGGCAUAGAGUUUCACCUUCAAGACAAUCUGCCUAUGAGAAACGAGAGGUAAGUCGCCCUCAAGCUCCUGCACGACAUUCGUCUCAUGAACACCGCGAGCAGAAAAGAAGGAGAAAAACAAGAAUUGUUCGGCCAAGGAGCAAGGACCUUCUUAUGUUCGGCAGAAGAUCACUCGACCAAGAUACUCGACGCGAUAUCGAGCAGAGUGUCGAGCAGGAUCCGUGGGUUCAGAACGAGCAGAACGUCGAGCAAAAUCAGUGGGAUCAAGAUGGGCAGUACUCAGGAAUGAAUUGGGAUGCUUACUAUGGCAUCAACGAGCAGGAACCUUCACCUGAAAACUGAGGUAACACCACCUCUCUAUUGUAUAUACCAUAGCAUCUUUUUAUUUUUCUUUGUGUGUAUUGUGCUUUGGUCUUGGAUUCUCUUUCAGAUUUUUAUUACACAAG
rnacentral:sRNA from 1 species